rnacentral:rRNA from 1 species
UACAUGAGCGACAAGCAUUAUCCGCAAUUAUUGGGUGUAGGGGAUGCGUAGACAGUUUGUAAAGUUUAUAUCAACUAAAAAAGGAUUUUUGGAUUGUAUAAAAACUACAAACUUGAGUUUAUUAGAAGUAAAUAUAAUUUAUAAACGAGCGAUAAAAUGCGAAAAAUUUAUAAUUUAUACCAUAGGUGAAAACGAUUUACUAUAAUAAACUGACGUUGAGGCAUGAAAGUAUAGCGAUCGAACAGG